GGCGGCAGGCCUAACACAUGCAAGUCGAGCGGUAGAGAGAAGCUUGCUUCUCUUGAGAGCGGCGGACGGGUGAGUAAUGCCUAGGAAUCUGCCUGGUAGUGGGGGAUAACGCUCGGAAACGGACGCUAAUACCGCAUACGUCCUACGGGAGAAAGCAGGGGACCUUCGGGCCUUGCGCUAUCAGAUGAGCCUAGGUCGGAUUAGCUAGUUGGUGAGGUAAUGGCUCACCAAGGCGACGAUCCGUAACUGGUCUGAGAGGAUGAUCAGUCACACUGGAACUGAGACACGGUCCAGACUCCUACGGGAGGCAGCAGUGGGGAAUAUUGGACAAUGGGCGAAAGCCUGAUCCAGCCAUGCCGCGUGUGUGAAGAAGGUCUUCGGAUUGUAAAGCACUUUAAGUUGGGAGGAAGGGCAGUUACCUAAUACGUAUCUGUUUUGACGUUACCGACAGAAUAAGCACCGGCUAACUCUGUGCCAGCAGCCGCGGUAAUACAGAGGGUGCAAGCGUUAAUCGGAAUUACUGGGCGU
rnacentral:rRNA from 1 species